UACGUAGGGUGCAAGCGUUGUCCGGAAUUAUUGGGCGUAAAGAGCUCGUAGGCGGUUUGUUGCGUCGGCUGUGAAAUCCCGAGGCUCAACCUCGGGUCUGCAGUCGAUACGAGCAAACUAGAGUGUUGCAGGGGAGACUGGAAUUCCUGGUGUAGCGGUGAAGUGCGCAGACAUCAGGAGGAACACCGGUGGCGAAGGCGGGUCUCUGGGCAGCAACUGACGCUGAGGAGCGAAAGCGUGGGGAGCGAACAGG
rnacentral:rRNA from 1 species